rnacentral:rRNA from 1 species
AAAAAAGAAAAAAAACGUAAAAAAAGAAAAAAAGAAAAAAAAAAAAAAAAAAAAAAAAGGAAAAAAGAAAAAAAGGAAAAAAAAGAAAAAAAGAAAAAAAAGAAAAAAAGAAAAAAAGAAAAAAAAGAAAAAAAGAAAAAAAGAAAAAAACGAAAAAAGAAAAAAGAAAAAAAGUAAAAAACAUUAUCGUCUUGUCGACGAAAGAUUUGGAUGGAAUCGCCAAUAGUAAUUUGACAAACUUCUUUGAUGAAGUCUUUUGGUGUUCCUUUGGUGUUCCUGGAACUUGCUUGUCACAUGUCUCGCAGAAAAAUGAUCCCUUUUUUAUGGAAUAAAUAAUAAUAAUAAAUUACAAAAUAAUUAACUAGAUAUGGAUAUAUAUGUGAAAGAUCAAUGAAAACAACCUCUGAAAAUUUUCUUUUGGAU